GACGAACGCUGGCGGCGUGCCUAAUACAUGCAAGUCGAACGCUUCUUUCCUCCCGAGUGCUUGCACUCAAUUGGAAAGAGGAGUGGCGGACGGGUGAGUAACACGUGGGUAACCUACCCAUCAGAGGGGGAUAACACUUGGAAACAGGUGCUAAUACCGCAUAACAGUUUAUGCCGCAUGGCAUAAGAGUGAAAGGCGCUUUCGGGUGUCGUUGAUGGAUGGACCCGCGGUGCAUUAGCUAGUUGGUGAGGUAACGGCUCACCAAGGCCACGAUGCAUAGCCGACCUGAGAGGGUGAUCGGCCACACUGGGACUGAGACACGGCCCAGACUCCUACGGGAGGCAGCAGUAGGGAGUCUUCGGCAAUGGACGAAAGUCUGACCGAGCAACGCCGCGUGAGUGAAGAAGGUUUUCGGAUCGUAAAACUCUGUUGUUAGAGAAGAACAAGGACGUUAGUAACUGAACGUCCCCUGACGGUAUCUAACCAGAAAGCCACGGCUAACUACGUG
rnacentral:rRNA from 1 species